CCUACGGGAGGCAGCAGUGAGGAAUAUUGGUCAAUGGACGGAAGCCUGAACCAGCCAUGCAGCGUGCAGGAAGACGGCCCUAUGAGUUGUAAACUGCUUUUGUACAAGGGUAAACCUGAAUACGUGUAUUCAGCUGAAAGUACUGUACGAAUAAGGAUCGGCUAACUCCGUGACAGCAGCGGCGGUAAUACGGAGGAUCCAAGCGUUAUCCGGAUUUCUUGGGUUUAAAGGGUGCGUAGGCGGGCAUUUAAGCCGGCGGUCAAAGGUCGGGGCUCAACCCCGGCCUGCCGUCGGAACUGGGUGCCUUGAGUGGGCGAGAAGUAUGCGGAAUGCGUGGUGUAGCGGUGAAAUGCAUAGAUAUCACGCAGAACCCCGAUUGCGAAGGCAGCAUACCGGCGCCCUACUGACGCUGAGGCACGAAAGUGCGGGUAUCGAACAGGAUUAGAUACCCUAGUAGUC
rnacentral:rRNA from 1 species